rnacentral:rRNA from 1 species
GAUUAAGCGUGUUGUGAAAUGUAGACGCUCAACGUCUGCACUGCAGCGCGAACUGGUUUCCUUGAGUACGCACAAAGUGGGCGGAAUUCGUGGUGUAGCGGUGAAAUGCUUAGAUAUCACGAAGAACUCCGAUUGCGAAGGCAGCUCACUGGAGCGCAACUGACGCUGAAGCUCGAAAGUGCGGGUAUCGAACAGGAUUAGAUACCCUGGUAGUCCGCACGGUAAACGAUGGAUGCCCGCUGUUGGUCUGAAUAGGUCAGCGGCCAAGCGAAAGCAUUAAGCAUCCCACCUGGGGAGUACGCCGGCAACGGUGAAACUCAAAGGAAUUGACGGGGGCCCGCACAAGCGGAGGAACAUGUGGUUUAAUUCGAUGAUACGCGAGGAACCUUACCCGGGCUUGAAUUGCAGAGGAAGGAUUUGGAGACAAUGACGCCCUUCGGGGCCUCUGUGAAGGUGCUGCAUGGUUGUCGUCAGCUCGUGCCGUGAGGUGUCGGCUUAAGUGCCAUAACGAGCGCAACCCCUCUCCUUAGUUGCCAUCAGGUCAUGCUGGGCACUCUGGGGACACUGCCACCGUAAGGUGUGAGGAAGGUGGGGAUGACGUCAAAUCAGCACGGCCCUUACGUCCGGGGCUACACACGUGUUACAAUGGCAGGUACAGAGAGACGGUCCCUUGCAAAAGGGAUCAAAUCCUCAAAGCCUGUCUCAGUUCGGACUGGGGUCUGCAACCCGACUGCACGAAGCUGGAAUCGCUAGUAAU